CUCUCUCUCUCUCUCUCUCAGAGACUUCUUCCAUUACAAGUUUCCAUACCUAUUCCUUCCAUUUCCAUGUCUAAAGAGCACAUAACCCAGCAAACUCUACCAAAACUUGAAGAAUCUACAACACAAGGUCUCAAGCAAGACGAAGAUGGUGAGGCGGUUGCCGCUGAAGAAGUAUCAAAUGAUGAUCAAGAAGGGUGCAAGACACCAACUUCUAGUGAUCACAAGAUACCAACCUUCCGAAGCUGCCCGCCAACACCAAGAAAGAAAGUGCAAAAAUUGUUCAUGCAAAAGAGGAAGUUGCCUGAUGAGAUGAACUUCUUCGAAGCUUCGAGCAGAGAUGAGGUAGAGUCUUUCUUUCGAUCAAGCUUUGAGCUACCGGGCGUUGAAUCUCGUCGCUUUAAGAGAAGAUGUAGAAGUUACUGAUAAGAUUUUCUUUAAAUUCAUCAUCUCCUCAUAUGUGUAGAUAUGCAAUAUUAUUACAUAUUUAUUUUUCUUCCUUUUUUUUUUUAUAAGAUUUACUUCUUAUGUAUGGAUUAAUUAUGAUAAAUCUAGCUAGCUAACCC
rnacentral:misc_RNA from 1 species